UAAAAAGACACAUUUUAAAAUAGGACAUCCA
rnacentral:piRNA from 1 species